rnacentral:rRNA from 1 species
UACGUAGGUGGCAAGCGUUGUCCGGAAUUAUUGGGCGUAGAGCGCGCGCAGGCGGUCCUUUAAGUCUGAUGUGAAAGCCCACGGCUCAACCGUGGAGGGUCAUUGGAAACUGGGGGACUUGAGUACAGAAGAGAAGAGUGGAAUUCCACGUGUAGCGGUGAAAUGCGUAGAGAUGUGGAGGAACACCAGUGGCGAAGGCGACUCUUUGGUCUGUAACUGACGCUGAGGCGCGAAAGCGUGGGGAGCAAACAGG